AAAAAUCAAAAUUCAACCGCGGUACAGGAUAAACUCGAACAAGGUCAAGUGGACAAAAUGGGAAAAUAUCGGGAAAAUUGCAGAACCCACGGCACUCGCCGGUGACCAAGCCGCCGCCGACGGCUCCCAUCUUGGUCUCGGAGAAGCGGCAUUGGCGGCUGGCACCGCGCUGACGCCUCAUUCUUCCGACUGCUCCGAGCAUAAUCCAAAUGAUUUUGACGAAAUUAGGGGGAUUGCGGGUCAUUCUAAGCCCGUUUGGUUCGCUCGUCUGUUGAUCUCCAAAGGGAAGUUUCAUCAUUUUAAGCUCCCAUAUUGAAAUCCAUUGGGGGACUAAAGUAUUGAAUCGAAGAACCAGAGAGGAAAGAGCAAAGAUUGGAGAUUGAAGAUUGAAGAACGGGGAAUCUCGAACCAUCUUUGCUGAUUUCUGUCAAGCUUACAUUUCUUGAAGAAAAAAAGGUUGGAGCCUUAGCUUCACUGCAAUAGCCUUGAAGAGCACAAUGUGGACCUCCAAUGUAAAGUCACCCCAUUUUGUCACUAGUCAUUAAAUUGUUUUUGUUUUUUACUUCGAUUUUUUUAAAAGAAAUUUCUUGAUGAGCAAUUUCGUUUGUGCACCGCUUGCCGUGCCCUUGAGUUGUAUUUUUUGUUUGACCAAUAUUUUGUAGUAUAAAUAUAGUUGGUGAUUGUACAAGUAAAGUUUGUAAAUUUCGUAAUUGAUAAUUUUGCAUGAAUGGCGCUUAUAUUUCAUUUUAA